rnacentral:rRNA from 1 species
CCUACGGGAGGCAGCAGUGAGGAAUAUUGGUCAAUGGACGAAAGUCUGAACCAGCCAAGUCGCGUGAGGGAUGACUGCCCUAUGGGUUGUAAACUUCUUUUAUCAAGGAAUAAAACGAGGCACGUGUGCCUUUUUGCAUGUACUUUAUGAAUAAGGAUCGGCUAACUCCGUGCCAGCAGCCGCGGUAAUACGGAGGGACAGAGCGUUAUCCGGAUUUAUUGGGUGUAAAGGGAGGCUUGAUGGGUUGUUAAGUCAGUGGUGAAAGUUUUGGGCUAAACCGUAAAAUUGCAAUUGAUACUGGCAGUCUUGAGUAGACGUGAGGUAUGCGGAAGGCGUGGUGUAGCGGUGAAAUGCUUAGAUAUCACGCAGAACCCCGAUUGCGAAGGCAGCUUAGCAACC